UUUUGAAUGGUUUUCAUUAAUCACUUUCUUUUUAGAUUUUUAAAUUUUCGAGGUAAAGAAACAUUUAUUUCUUUUUCUUUUAAGUUUUAAGUCUUUUUUGGUUUCCGUCAAGCCCAUGGUUUCAGUUUUUUGCGACAUUUGGAUGGAAAAAUUCACAGAUUUUCACUAAAACCUUCCACUAUUCCACGCUAUUAUACGCUGUAAAAAUAAGCUAAAGUCUAUUAUUCGUUUUUGCAGUAUAAAGAAGGUGCUUUUUUCUGCACAAAGCGUAUUUACACUAAUAUCUUCAAAGUCAUAUCAAGAUUUAAGAAGAAGAAGUUAGAUCAAAGAUGGAGGGCAGUUAAAUUAGAACUAGCUCUACAGGGCUAACAGAUAUCAGGAAAAUCAUAAAGAGCAUUGACUAUUUUUAGUCUAAUUGGUCUUAGACUUCAGAUGGUAACAAAUAUGCUGACUGGAAACUGAAAACCUCACACCAUAGGUAGAGUAAAUGGUGUAGGAAAUGCCAAAUAAAGAAAGAAAUUACCAUGGAUGCCCUUCAUGAGAUAGAUGUUUCUAAGAUUCUAAAUAUUAUUAUUUUUUAAUUGAGUUAAGUUAAAAUGUGAAUUUUUUCAUCUUUCAUCUGAGAAUGUUUCUUAUCGUACACAUUUCAAAAUUUACUUCGUAUUUAAGGCAUUAUUAUAAUUUUAUAUUUUUGUUGGGAAUAAACCAUAAUUUUAAUUUAAAAUAAGUUUAUUUGUCGUUUCGAUUUCCACUUCGGAAAUUGUUCUCAAAAUACAAAACAUUAAUAAAUUAAAGAAAUUAAUGAAGCGGCUCUAAUUAUGUUAAAUGAAACCAAUUACUAGAAUGCAGUAGGAUCUGGUUACUCAUAUUAAUAGAGGAAAUUAAUAGGAAGAAAACACCACCAUUAGUAAGUCAAUAACAUAUCGAGAAUACAUCAUUUUUGGUUUAAAAUAACAUACAUAUAAAAUAAGAGUUCGAUGUUACUAUUGAGAGUAAAGUAAAUGUAAAACCAAAUACUUACCAUGUCUGGAUAUUAUUAUAAGGUUUUUUUCGUCAUGAUUUACUAUGGGAUCAGUAACAGGAGAAUUUUACUAUCAUCAUUGUAUUUGGUUGUAUUUUUAAAGAAAAAUAACAUGAUUUUUCUGAUGGGUAUAAAGUUGAUUUUAUGUAACCGAAUGAACUGUCUUCCAAUAUGCCUUUAAACAAAUUUGAAGGGUGCCAGGCGGAAUUUUUGGGCAGAAAUUGUUUAAACAAUUUUUUUAAACAAAUACAAUCAUGUUUUAUUGCCCUGGAACAUAUAUUUUUAGGUUUUUUUUGGAUCAUUAUAAACAAGAAAGGUAUCUUGUAAUUUUUCCUAAAAAUGGAUAGUUUUCAAGUUAGGCGAUUUAAAAUCUGAAAAAUGUGAAAAUACGCAUUUUCGAGGCUUAAAAACUCAUAUCUAAAUUAGUAUUUUUGAGGUUGCCAGAUACUUAAAUUGAAGAUUAAACAUUCAGCUUCAAGAUUCUGAAGAGUGAUCGCGUCUAGCCUUAAUUUAUGGCAUUGUUUUUAAUUGUUAAAUAUGCGUGUUUAUCCGAUUUUUUUACCGGUGCGGCGCGCUCUUUUUCAAAAAUCUCCUAUUUUCAUCCGAAAAAUAUUUUUUCUAGAUUCUUUGGGAUAUUCUAAAUAAAAUAACUUUUCUGACAUUUUUCUCAAAAGUUAGUAGUUUUUAAGUUAUAAGCGAUUUAAAAUCCGAAAAAUUACAAAAGUUCAUUUUCGAAAAGUUCAUUUUCGGAUUUUAAAUCGCUUAUAACUUUAAAACUUAACUUUUAAGAAAAAUGUCAAGAAACUUAUUUUAUUUAGAAUAUCCCAAAGAAUCUUUCUUAUAUAAUAAAAAAAUCAGAUAUACAUGCAUAUUUAACAAUUAAAAAACAACGAUUUAAAUUAAAGGUAGACGCAAUCACUCUUCAGGAUCUUGAAGCUGAAUGUUUAAACUUCAAUUUAAGUAUCUGGCUACCUCAAAAAUACCAAUUUAAAUAUGAGUUUUUGGGCCUCGAAAAUGCGUAUUUUCGCAUUUUUCAGAUUUUAAAUCGCCUAUAACUCGAAAACUAUCAAUUUUUGAGAAAAUUUACAAGAUACCUUUCUUGUUUAGAAUGACCCACAAAACUUAAAAAUAUAUGUUCUGAAGCAGAAAAAGGUGAAUUUGUUUAAACCAUUUCUGCCCAAAAAUUCCGCCAGGCACCCUUUAGAUUUGUUUAAAGGGGACAUUUUUGAAUAGGAAUCCACAAAGAAACCGAAUCAGAAAUUUUUCCAGACGGGAGCGGUUUCACCACAUGGACUGUGCAGCCCAAAAUUAUUGACAAUAUAAUUUUGAAGUCAUCUACUUUAAAAUGAACAUUAAAUUAUUAGAAUAAUUUUUUAUCAAGUAACAAAAAAAAAAUAAAAACAACAUUUGUUUAAUUUAUUAAUGUUUUGUAUUUUGGGAAUGAUUUCCGAAGUCGAAAUCUAAACUUCAAAUAUAAACUUUUUAAAGUAAAAUUGUGGCUUAUUCAGAAUAGAAUAGGUUCAGAUCAAUAUUAAGGCAUUAUUAUAUUAACUAGAAAAAAAUAAAGAAACAUUCUCUUUUUAUCAUUGUUAUACCGAUAUUCUACGCUUCAGCCCUGAUAAUACUCAUUUUCAUUAAGACGUAAAUAGAAUUGUUUAUUGUCAUUUAAUUAUGUCGACCGAAGACUAGCAAGAUAUAAAUAUGAUAUAGCUUUAUGAGAAAAAUCCCUCACCUAUAAAAGAAACCGGGUCAGGGACUGGUCACUACGUUAUUGAUAGAUUCGUUUUCCUUGAUUGACCCUACAUCGAAUUAUUGUGUUUCUUUGUGUUUCGAGUCAAAACAAGAGUUCUAUAAAAAGAAAUACAUACCUAUAUCAAAUAACUGAUUUAUUUAUUUCUUGCAUUUUAGAAUUUUGUGAUCCGUGUUCCAGUGCCAUAACUUUUGAAAAAACUGAAAUGUAAAUGUGUUUUCGGUCUCUAAAAACCAGUUUUUUCCAGGUACUUUACGUAUAUGAUCAUAUCGUAUCGUAUUAAAGGGCCAGGUCUUCCUUUUCCACUCCAUGCAUCUCAUUUGGUUGUUCUUUUUGUUCUUCUGCCAUUGUUCGUCAUAACCACUUGCCAUGCCCAUCUCUAUCUUGAUCUUAAAUUUUUGUACUUUUUUUUCCAUUUUUUUGCAUUCUUCGAUCGAUUCCAUCGAUUCUUUUCCUAUCUGCUGUUCGAAUGGUCCACGUUUUAGAAACAUAGCUAAAUUUUGGGAAACGCAGUGUUCGUACAAGAUUCAUCUUAGCGUUUUUUAUUGUGCGUUUGUUUGUCCACAUUUUAGUGAUGUUGGACUGUUAGACAUAGUAGUUAUACCGGUACUCCCUAAAUAAAGCUUUUUUCACACAUUUUCACAUUUCUUUUUAUCUCACAACUUAAUAUGUAUAUGUUUUCCAUCUUUCGCGUUAUUUUGCCGGUUAUUAGCGCGCUCGUCACUGUAUAGUAUGCCAUUGUCGUGUGUUUCAUUUUUAUCGGUUUUUAGUUUAUGUCCAGUUUAAUAGGCUCCAGGACUUUGGGUAUAUUUAAUCCUUCAUAGAAUUCUUCGACUAUGUUCAUGAUUUCAUUUUGGUCUGUGGUUCUUUUAUUGUUGUUUCUUUGUAGCUGAAUAAUUUAUUGUACAUCUUUUCUUAAAGCUUCUUUCCAAUACUUUCUUCGAUGUAUUUUUUUUACUUUUAGUUAAAACUGUAACAGAAUUCUUUAUUGUCCGAGACUACUAUUUUCCAAAUGCCUUUCAAUAUCAUUGGAAAUGGUAGAAAAACAGUUUUUCUUUUUUCAUCUUUUAUUAUUUCAAUUAUAUUGAAAACUUAUAUGAAACCAAGCAUCUUUUAUUUUUCAACAUUUCUUUGUAGAAUUUGUUUAUUACAUUCGUCUUUCUGUGAACAUUUUCCAAAGUCCAUUGCCUGACUAUCAUAGAUUUUUCAAACACUUUACAAUAAAAAAUUUGUUAGAUACAGCUUUUGUCCGCGUGUUCAUUUUCUUUUAUCAGAUUUCUUUCCAAUUGCAUACAUUUGCACAAAAUAGUUUUGAAAUAUACUCAAGAUAAUGUUCAUGCAUUGUAUACACACUUAUCACUUACAGAAAAAAUAGUAACUACUGAUAACCUUGGAAAAGGUGUUAUCGCCAUCCUGUGGUUUCUAUACAUUGAUCAGAUAUUUUUUACACAAUAUCAGUAGAACUUUUAUCGCCAAUUAAUUAUAAGAUAUGUGUAAAAAUGUUGGCAUGUUAAUUACUGAUAUGUAUGUAAUAUACUUUCUUCAUUCCUUCCUUUUUCACAGUUAAAUUUUGCUGCAUGUUUUAAUAUUUUUAUCCUAAAUCGUUUAAAAACUACUCCCAAUAGACGUCGUAUUUGAAUAUGCGUACACUUCUUCUUAACCUACAUAAUAUUUGAUUUAGACGUUUUUUCAACUAGUCUAUAUUUGUCCACUGCUGAAUGUAGGCUUCCCGUAAAAUUUUCAACUUAUAUCUGUCUUGAGAUUCUUGCAUCCAAUUUGUGGUGAUGCGAUCAUCUGUCCAUCUAGUCGGUGGUCGUCUCUGCGUCGAUAUGCCUCUUGUCUUGGUCGCCAUUCCAGAAUCUUUCUGGUCCAUGCUCAUUUAGCCUUGGCUACCUAUUAUUUCAACUGCAUUCAGCGGCAAUUUUUAAUCUUUUUUUGCUACAGAAUUGGCGAUUUAUCAUGAGAAUUUCUCUCGGUUUGUUUCUAUUUAUAUAAUUAUCUUUAUGAUAUUUGCGAUAAUUACUUCAUCCGAGUAAUCCAUAAAUUCGAGUAUAUUACUUCAUACACUCCACAUCUCUCAAGGACAUAGAGAUAAUCACAUAAUCUAAUUAAUAUCAAUAAAGGUAAUGAUGCAGUAAAUUAUAAGUGGCCUUGUUAUAAAUACAAUAUUUAUUUUUAAAAAAUUCCACAACCUUUAUGGUUGAAUUAUAUCGAAGGUGCUCUCCUACAGCUCUAUGGAAUACGUUUAAUUAAAUGAUUUUUUUAGUUUACUUAGUUCCUGUAAUUCACACUGGAGCGUAGGAUAUUCAUGAAUAUGUAUUCUCUUUAUCGGCAUUCUGGAGGAUUUAAUCUAAAGUAUCCUGCUCAAUAGCUCAUCAGGUAUCCUGUAUGAUGCCGAAUUGAUCACCACUUUGUCUUCAUAAUCUCCUGUAUAAUCCUAUUUUGAUCUCAUAAUUCGCAAAAUUCUUCUUUCAAGAUCACAUUUAUAUUAUUAUGUAAAAUCCAAGGCCAGUUGUAUGAGGCAGUUUCUUAGCACAUUAUAUGAGGAGCAAAUUAAUGAUACAUUAUUUUUACUAAAUUAAGUCUGGGAAGUCUGAUCUGGGAAGACGUAGUGAUGUAAAAUCUGUCACAUUUUAUCCCUGAUAUAGUUCCAAGACAGGUAGAUUGUUGACUAUCAUGUUUGUUUCUAUAUUCGCUGUCCUGGUUGUAUUGAAAGCAGCUUUAAACAAUGUUGCAGCCAGUUUUCCUUGCCCAAUUAACCAAUGAUGUUCUUCUUAGACAGAAUCUACAAAAACGAGUUUUUUGCACUUUGUUCUAAAAUUAUAAAAGUCGAAUCUAUAGUCGAUAUGUAUAGUUGUAUAGUCCAUACAUCUUUCGUGUUUGCCUUCAGUUGUUUAAGGUCUUCCUUUAUUGUUGUUUCAUUGGGCACUCAAUCUUUCACAAUGGUUUAGUCUUGAGAUCGUUUGAGGUUGAUAGAGAAUCAAAACGACUCCUUCACUUUGCAAGUAUUUACAUUAAUAAUUAUAAAUAGCAGGUUAACGGAAGUCAUUAAUGACGUAAUGUAUUGUUUUCUAUCGUUAUCAAACUUGCGAUUAUUACAAACAGCAAGUGCAGGUUUAAUUUGAAACAUUUGAACUUUAGACUGAUCGAACCAUUUUUGUGACUAUAAUAACUGGUAUUUUCUGAUAAUAAUUUAUUAUUAAUGAUUGUCAUUCUUAUAAUCGUAUGAUUAUUUUUAUAGUCUAAGAGUCUAAGCCGUACGUAAUUAUCACCGACAUUGAUUUCGUAAAACAAGUAAUUAUCACCGAAAUUGUUUAUUGUUCAAAAUACAAAAUUUUCUUUCGCAUAAUAUCUUUUAACCAAAUAUCCAUGCAUUUUUCGAUUACCAGCUUCUUCAGACGUCGAGAAACUUAAAAUUCGUCGAGAAAUUUUUAUGGACGAGUAUGAAAUAUAUGGAUAAUUCGAUGUUUUGAAUGCACACAAUCUUUCUGGUUUGAGGCAAUUUAUUGGGAGCCGUACCUUUUACCAUCAUCAUCAUCAACAACUCUUCCAUCCAUAGUCGAUAUAAGCCUCCCCUACCUGUGUUCAUUAAUUUCUGCUCAUUGUUUUUUUCAUCCAUUCGUGACCAGUCAUUCGCAUGAUGUCAUCAGUCCAUCUUGUUUGAGGUCUGUUUUUACUUCUUUUGCUUGUCCUUAAUUGCCAUUCAAGAAUUUGCUUCGUCCAACAGUUGUCUUCCAUUCUUCCUAUGUGCCCUGCCCAGUUCUUUUAACGUGGCAAACUUUUGGAUUACAUAUAUGUUACUUUUGAUUGUUUUCUUAUUUCUUCAUUGUCUUUUUCACGGGACAGUGUCCCGUUAUCACUUUGAACAUUUUACUCUUUCACAGUUUUAGAUAAAGACUUUGUAUACCAGUGCGUGUAUCAAUAUCAGUAAUUUCAGUAUUUAAGUGUUUGGUCUAAAGAAAUUAUAGAUCAAUUACUAGAAAACCUUUCCUACUUAAUACCACUAAAAUUUAUGAAUAGCUUGAAAUAAACAAAUUUUUGCACACUAUCAUUAAAAAAUCCGGUCAACACUUUUAUUUUUCCAUAUUGCUUAUAAUCUUAGUACUUUUCCCGCUACAGAGAAAUUUUUGAAAGUAUUUAAUGGUGUAAAUGACGUACAAAACGAUCUUCAUAAAAUUGUACUGAUCAGACGAUUUUAUCUAGUGAUAAAUUAUGAUAAUCUUUGUGAUAAGUGAGAAGUGUACUUCUAAUUGCUUUAUAGUGGGAAAAAUAUUAUGAUUAGUUUACAUUAAGCGUACCAUAAGACACCAGCAGACGUUCUGCACAUCUACUACUUUCUAUUGAAUUUUGUCGUACAUUAAACGAGACAGAAUAGAAUCAACUAAAACUGGUUUCCUGAAAAAAUAUUUCUAAAACAAAUGCAAUAAGAAGUAACAAUAAUAGAACUCCCAGUACCAAAACUAAUAUUUCCAAUUACUAUAUUUAAAUAUCUGUAUUAUAUUUAAUAAAACUCUGCAUUUUUUGUAGUUACACCUUUUUACUAUAGAUUUUAUUCAUAUAACUCGUAUCCCUUUAAAAAGAAACUCGUUCCGCCGCUGGCGAUUGAGUCUAUUUCAAUUUUCACGUUUUCAGGAUCUUUAACAUGUUAUUAUUCAAUUGUUUGAGUCAAAUUUCCGAUCUCCAGUGAGGUAGAAAAGGGGUUUACUAUGAUUUAUUAAAGAUUUUCAAAAUGUCUAAAAAAACAUUUUUUGAGGCCUCGGGAUAAUCUGUUAAAGUCUUAUUUUACUAGUAUUGAUGAAUACAGCAACCACUUGUUUAUACAACAAGCAAGUCUUUUGUUUCUAUUUUAAAAUGAUUUUACUCCACUGCUAAAGACUCGCCUAAUCUACACAUUUCAAAAAGUUCCUGAUGAGUUAUCAAGCCAGCUUUUAAGAUGAUUCUGCCAGAAAAUAAUUAUUUUGCCAUCAGCAAAUCCUUCUUACCUUAUAUUUUGGGAUAUACCGUUUUAAUGACAUUUGAAUGAUUGAUUGAUAGGUAAUUAAGCUAAUUUGGGAAGUGUGAAGCUUAAAGUUUUAAUAAUAAGUGGGGAUUAAUAGUCUAAUAAUAUGGAAUUAAAUCACAAAUGAUUAUAUUCACGUUUUCAGGAUCUUUAACAUGUUAUUAUUCAAUUGUUUGAGUCAAAUUUCCGAUCUCCAGUGAGGUAGAAAAGGGGUUUACUAUGAUUCAUUAAAGAUUUUCAAAAUGUCUAAAAAAACAUUUUUUGAGGCCUCGGGAUAAUCUGUUAAAGUCUUAUUUUACUAGUAUUGAUGAAUACAGCAACCACUUGUUUAUACAACAAGCAAGUCUUUUGUUUCUAUUUUAAAAUGAUUUUACUCCACUGCUAAAGACUCGCCUAAUCUACACAUUUCAAAAAGUUCCUGAUGAGUUAUCAAGCCAGCUUUUAAGAUGAUUCUGCCAGAAAAUAAUUAUUUUGCCAUCAGCAAAUCCUUCUUACCUUAUAUUUUGGGAUAUACCGUUUUAAUGACAUUUGAAUGAUUGAUUGAUAGGUAAUUAAGCUAAUUUGGGAAGUGUGAAGCUUAAAGUUUUAAUAAUAAGUGGGGAUUAAUAGUCUAAUAAUAUGGAAUUAAAUCACAAAUGAUUAGAAUCAAAAUGAAAUUUUACAUUUUUUUGGUGUUUCGGUUUCUAAUCCUGAAAUCGUUUCCAAAAAUUUUUUGUUAUUAUUCAUAAAAAAAUUGAAAACGAUUUCCGGAUAGGAAAUCGAAACCUCAAAACAAAUGUAAAACGUAAUUUCCAUUGCAAUCGAUUGUGGUUUAACCCUAUAUAAAUACAAUAUUUAAUUUAAACAUGCCACAAAGUUCAUAGCUUCAGAAAUUCUGUAAGUGGGGAUUAAUGUAAUAAGGGCACAUUUCAAUCGCAAACCAAAUCUACUGAUCCUUGUCAUAUUUGUCAAUGUAGAUUUUUAAAGUAUGUUUAAAGUUAAAGCUUUGCUAUCAUCCUAAAUAUCUUAGUUAAGUGGGAAUUGAUAUAACAAGUGUACGAUUCAAUUGUAAGAAAAGAUUUACUGAUUCUUAUCAUAUUUGUCAAUGUAUUUUUCAACAAUUUUUUAAAACUUGAAACUUUGUUAUCGUCCUGAAUAUCUUAAACAUUUAAAACUACCUAAAAAUAAAACGACAGUAUAUUCAGUAUAGUUAAUUUUUGAAUUCUAUAACUUUGUAAGCUAGAAACUCAUCGGCAUUUCAUGCCGAAUCUAAAAAUACUCUGAAAUCUCUUAAUGCAUUUGUUUAAUGUUUUUAUUUUAGGAAAAACCGUUUUUUACUGAUAUAUAGUAUGCGGCAAAAUAAACAGUACUGAAAUGAAUAUUGAAAUGUUUGAAUAUUUAUAUAUUUAGUA